rnacentral:rRNA from 1 species
UACGAAGGGGGCUAGCGUUGUUCGGAAUUACUGGGCGUAAAGCGCGCGUAGGCGGUGAUCUUUGUCAGAGGUGAAAGCCUGGGGCUCAACUCCAGAAUUGCCUUUGAAACGGGAUUGCUUGAGUCCGAGAGAGGAUGGCGGAAUUCCUAGUGUAGAGGUGAAAUUCGUAGAUAUUAGGAAGAACACCGGUGGCGAAGGCGGCCAUCUGGCUCGGUACUGACGCUCAGGCGCGAAAGCGUGGGGAGCAAACAGGG